UACGUAGGGUGCGAGCGUUAAUCGGAAUUACUGGGCGUAAAGCGUACGCAGGCGGCUUUGCAAGACAGGUGUGAAAUCCCCAGGCUUAACCUGGGAACUGCGUGUGAUACUGGAUGGCUUGAAUUCGGGAGAGGGAUGCAGAAUUCCAGGUGUAGCGGUGAAAUGCGUAGAUAUCUGGAGGAAUACCGGUGGCGAAGGCGGCAUCCUGGACCGACAUUGACGCUGAGGAGCGAAAGCUAGGGGAGCAAACGGG
rnacentral:rRNA from 1 species